UACCAGCACCCCGAGUGGUCGGGACGAUUAUUGGGCCUAAAGCAUCCGUAGCCGGUUUUACAAGUCCUCCGUUAAAUCCAGCUGCUUAACAGAUGGGCUGCGGAGGAUACUAUAAGACUAGGAGGCAGGAGAGGCAAGCGGUACUCAGUGGGUAGGGGUAAAAUCCGUUGAUCCAUUGAAGACCACCAGUGGCGAAGGCGGCUUGCCAGAAUGCGCUCGACGGUGAGGGAUGAAGGCUGGGGGAGCAAGCCGG
rnacentral:rRNA from 1 species